rnacentral:rRNA from 1 species
CCUACGGGAGGCAGCAGUGAGGAAUAUUGGUCAAUGGUCGGGAGACUGAACCAGCCAAGCCGCGUGAGGGAUGAAGGUACAGAGUAUCGUAAACCUCUUUUGUCAGGGAACAAAGGCGGGGACGCGUCCCCGGAUGAGUGUACCUGAAGAAAAAGCAUCGGCUAACUCCGUGCCAGCAGCCGCGGUAAUACGGAGGAUGCGAGCGUUAUCCGGAUUUAUUGGGUUUAAGGGGUGAGCAGGCGGUCUGUUAAGUCAGCGGUAAAAGCCCGGGGCUCAACCCCGGCCCGCCGUUGAAACUGGCAGUCUCGAGUUGGAGAGAAGUAUGCGGAAUGCGCGGUGUAGCGGUGAAAUGCAUAGAUAUCGCGCAGAACUCCGAUUGCGAAGGCAGCAUGCCGGCUCCACACUGACGCUGAGGCACGAAAGCGUGGGUAUCGAACAGGAUUAGAUACCCUUGUAGUC